CAGGCAGGAAGUAUAGGUGGGAAAGCAGAGAGGAGAAUUCUGUGAAGAGGAAUGGGAGAGAGAAGUCGCGAGCCAGACACAGAGGAAGCAAGAUGUAAAGUUGCGUUUUUAUCAUGGAGAUUACCAACGGCAAAGGAUGUUGAUAUGAUUUUCAAUCACAUUUUACCGCCUGGAUAUUAUUGAAGAUUUUUACACUCUCUUUUGAAACUUGAAUCACAUCACUAAUGAAAAGAUUAGUUUGUGACUGAUGAAUACAUUUCAAUGAUUCAUGAAUCCUGUAUAUAUGGCAUGAAAGUGGAACACUGUCUAUGGAUACAAAGAAGACAGGUUAGUUGAGAAAGCAGCAAACAGAAGAAGGCACCACAUUGGGGUAUCUGCUUGAUUACUGACUCCCUGAUUUCAGAAUUUUUUCCACUAUCAUCAUCUCAGUGG